GUCCAGUUGGUUAAGCGUCAGACUCUUGAUUUCAGCUCAAGUCACGAUCUCACGGUUUGUGAGAUCAAGUCCCACACAGGACU
rnacentral:tRNA from 1 species